rnacentral:rRNA from 1 species
UACAGAGGUGGCAAGCGUUGUUCGGAAUUACUGGGCGUAAAGGGCGCGUAGGCGGUGCUCUAAGUUAGAUGUGAAAACUCUGGGCUCAACCCAGAGCCUGCAUCUAAAACUGGAGUGCUAGAGUUCUGGAGGGGGUAGCGGAAUUCCUGGUGUAGCGGUGAAAUGCGUAGAUAUCAGGAGGAACACCGGUGGCGAAGGCGGCUACCUGGACAGAAACUGACGCUGAGGCGCGAAAGCUAGGGGAGCAAACAGG